AUUUUGCUUCACAGAGAAAGGUGCGCUUAAGCUGUUGAGAUGAGGACUGGUGUCAUGCUGUUUUCUGCUGUAAUUCUGUCUCUUCUGGUCUUUACUUCUGUUGCCCAAGGCCAGACCUGUUUGAGUCACUGCGACUAUAGCGACUGUUUAAGGGACUGUCAGGCUGACGGAUACCUGAGUGCCAUAUGUAGAUCAUCAAGGAGUUGUCCUUCAAGUAGACCUGAUGUCUGUCGCUGCCUAUUCAAAAAUUUCAUUUAAAGGAAAUCUACAUUUCAAGGAACUACAUGUUCGUAUCUCUGAUAAGAAAUAUGUAAUAAUGAUGCAAUAAAAAAGUGCGAA